rnacentral:rRNA from 1 species
UACGUAGGGUGCGAGCGUUGUCCGGAAUUACUGGGCGUAAAGCGCACGUAGGCGGCUUUGUAAGUUAGAGGUGAAAGCCCGGGGCUCAACCCCGGAAUUGCCUUUAAGACUGCAUCGCUUGAAUCCAGGAGAGGUGAGUGGAAUUCCGAGUGUAGAGGUGAAAUUCGUAGAUAUUCGGAAGAACACCAGUGGCGAAGGCGGCUCACUGGACUGGUAUUGACGCUGAGGUGCGAAAGCGUGGGGAGCAAACAGG